rnacentral:rRNA from 1 species
UACAGGGGGUGCAAACGUUGCUCGGAAUCAUUGGCGUAAGACGCACGUAGGCGGUUCGUUAUGUCGGAUGUGAAAGCCCUUGGCUUAACCGAGGAAGUGCAUCCGAAACUGGCGAGCUAGAGUACUAAAGAGGAUCGCGGAAUUCCCGGUGUAGAGGUGAAAUUCGUAGAUAUCGGGAGGAACACCGGUGGCGAAGGCGGCGAUCUGGGUAGAUACUGACGCUGAGGUGCGAAAGCGUGGGGAGCAAACAGG